rfam:Desulfotomaculum sp. 46_296 MPI_scaffold_3180, whole genome shotgun sequence.
UCCGUCGCGAGGCGGAAUCUGAAGGAAGCCGGCGGAAAUCCUCCGGCCCAAGGACCACGAACCCCAGGUGAGGCUAAUGACAGUUGGGCGAGCUUGCCAUACAAAGCGAAGUCCUUGCUACCAAAGGCUGUCAGGAGUAGAUGGGGCGGGUAGAUGGAGGGAAAGAUAGCGUU